rnacentral:RNase_P_RNA from 1 species
CGUAAGGGUGGAAAGGCAGUGUAAGAGACUACCGCCUCUCUGGUAACAGCGAGGGCACAUGUAAACCCCAUCCGAAGCAAGACCGAAUAAAAGCAAUGUGGCUGCCCGUCACGCUUUUAGGUGGGUCGCUGAAGCUUGUUGGUAACAGCAGGAUUAGAUAGAUGACCAUUCACGACAUAACCCGGCUUAUCGUUCUGCUUACGAG